GACGUGGUGGCCUAAUGGUUAGCGAGCUGAACUCUGAAUCAAACAGUCCAGGUUCGAGCCCUGGCCGGGGUCA